AGUUGGGUGAGUAGGUUUGCCGGUUUGGGACCGAAGCGUGUUCUGGUGUUGCGCUGAUAAUCCCUGAUACUCACCGCUAUAGUGCCAACCCAGACGCACGACUACGUUGAAAAAUUGACAUGGUGUAUGGUGUAAAAUUAAUAAACUCUUUUUCAUUGACAGGAGACGUUAGUCUGUAACCACCAGUCAUUCAACGUUUUCUUAGUGUUUACUGUUUAAAAUGGUGGUAAAAUAUUGUUGUGUCACCGGUUGUUCAAAUACUAGCCUACUUAAGACUUGAAUUCGAUUGAAUUGAACACGAGGGAGCUGCCAACACCAUUAAGCGUAUGGUGUUGGAAGAGAGCUGGUUGAAUGGAUUGAAGAGGGAUGGAAGAGAGCCGUUGCUUUAGUCAAGAACGUCACCCAGCAUAAGGAGUGUGUUCCAUUCCGUCGUUAAUGGUUAAACAACGGAGGUGUUGGCCGGUGUGCCUCAGGCUAACAAUUGGGUACCAUUCAGGGAUGUUUUCCCAAGAAGUCUCCCAGAGUUCCUUCUGCCAUACAUGAGCAGCCCUUGCCACACAGAAGUCAUCCUGCCUGAGAAGGAAGACAUUGUUCCUAAAGUCAAGAAGGAGGAAUUUACCAAAAAAAAGAAGGUUUUAAAGAAAAAGUUGGCUCACCAAAAGUUGUUGGGAAUAAACUUUUCCUGUUAACACUUUGUUAACCCUUUGUGUUUGAAAUACAACGUUGGUGACGCUCGAAAUAAAAUAGUUAUUUUCUGUUUACCAUGAUAAUUAUAUUUAUUACGAUUGACAACGAACGGUUAAAAUAAUUGUAUUCUGAAUUCAAUUUAAGGUCGUCUUCUGGUAGGAAGCCUGGAGAUAACAUUAAAGCAAAAAAAAGUAUUCAAUCAAGGAAAAAGAAAUAGGCUACCUCAAGUGAAGUAAAUAUGACAUCAAGUUCAAACAUUCAAACAAUAAGCAUGCAUAAAAAUGAUAUCAAAGUAUCAAACUCUUAGUCCGAUUGGGAAAGAUGCGUAUCCCGUGCGCAUCUGACUGAAUCUUUUUCAUUUUAAUUUUUCUAUGAUAGAAGCUUCGGAUUGAAUAGAUCCCAUAUAUUGCAUCAUUAGAUGCGAUGGGUCACGAGGAUUCGAAAAAUCUUAAUAAAUAAUGAAUAGUAGGAAAUUUCCUGAAUAGUAGGAAAAAUGGAAUAUUUAAAAAGUAGUUAAAAAAACGAAUAAAAAACUCAGAAAAGCGGCCACAAUUCUUUGUUUUUUAUUCGUUCAGGCCGAAUCGUACGGUUACGUUACCUAUCUAAAAACUACACAAUUAAUCAGUCUUGUCAAAAACGUCUCUGCUCUAGCUCAUAUCAACACCCAACUGAAUAUCUCAAUUAAAUUAACUAACAGUAACAAAACAAAAAAUAAAAAACAGUUUGAUAAUCACAUCAUCGUCGUCCUCAAGAAAUCGCCAUCACAGAUCACAAACAGCCAAACAAUCGAAAGAUCAAAACCCCGUUCUGUGUUGAGAGAUGAGAGCAAGGGUAGUAAGAGUCAGCGAGGGAUGAAGUUGACAAGCCGUUGGUUCCAGGGUAGUCGAAUUAAACUGGCCGCGUAGGUAACUAGAGCAGGCACAACUCCCCCAUGCCUCGAGGCGACGGAAGGAUGGCACGCAUGUGAAUUAAUCUUUUUCUUUUCUUUUUCCCAGCAGAAUUGCUUCAGUUGCAAGAUUUAGACAAACUUUGACGUUUAGACGAUACCUGCUCGCCAUUUGAAGUCGAUUUACGUUCAGACAUAUUGCCUAAUGUGUGCCUACACUCCUACUCCUUCACUUCCUACGCCUGCACCCUGCAGAUCCUAGGCUAGCAUAGUGAGAUCUUUAUUUUACUAAGAGAUGGCGCCUGCUUGGGUUGGCCCGCGGACCUGACAAUUUUAUAGAAAUAUAAUACCAACACUUGCUUGAGGUUACUUUAAAAAACAAUGUAUAAAUCCAUUUAAAAAAAUAUCAAAACAAAUAAGAUAAACAUUUGGGGCAUUUUCACUAUGUCUUUUAUUAAGAAUUUUUAUCUCAAAUCUAUUUAAUUAUAUAAAAAACGUUAUGAAGAUGGGGCUCCUCCAGUUUGAGAUAAAUGUUUGAUAACGUCAACCCAAUCAUAACCCCUUAUUUUUUCUCCCUUACCAUCCAUUCGAUCCCACUGUCGUCUUUUUUGUGCUUUGGUAAGACCAGAACGGCGUUCUUUAUUGUCUUUGCACAAGUGUUCAACCUUGGAAAAAAUUUUUUGAAUUAUUUGCAGAAACAUACUGUAAUAUUAGACAAAUACUUUUACCUUCUCUUCAAUAUCUAAAUUGGCAAGAUUAAGAGAUGCAUCCAUAGUUGAAGGUUGGUCAACCAUUAAUUCUUCUAAGUUUUCUUUCACCCAUUCAAUUAGUGUGUAGGUCAUAGCUGAACCAAUAUUAACAUCUGCUUCUUUUAACACCUUUGAUCUAAUAUCUUCUUUCACACGAGUUUUCCUGAUGAGUAAUUUUAGCAGUUAUUUACCUGCAUACUUUAAUGGAAUGACUACAUCUUACAUGUGUUUGUUGUAAAAAGCAUCCAUAUUGAUGACAGGCAAAGUUUCUGGGUAUGAUUCUGGCCAGCUAAUUUCAAACACAAAGGAAUGAGGAUCACCUUCUGUCCCAUACUAUGGAAAAGGUGAAUGGACAAAAAGAAAAAUUAAAUUACACACAUUUCCACGUAAAAUUUUUUUGUUUUCUAUAACAAACUCAAUCCUACCUUACCUUGCAGGAUUAAAGAUAAUUCACCAUUCAACAUAAUUAAUUAAAAUGAUCUACAGUAUUUUGAAAAACAAAAAUCUUUUUGCCAAAAUUAUUUUUUACCUUAUACUGGAAUGACUUGGGACUCAAUUCCCUAAAAUUCCCAUCUCCUUCAUAAAUGGAUCUGAGGACUUCCAGUUCCUCUUCUUGAUUUUCGGAAUUCAUCUUAGUUAUAACCUA
rnacentral:lncRNA from 1 species